rnacentral:sRNA from 1 species
GUUGUAUUUCUACUGUUGUCAUUGUCGCUACACACAACAUCUGUAAUUUUUAUUGAAUUUUUCGAAUUGUGGUGUGUUUUCGUUUCGUAUUUACGUACGACAUAUGUGCGAAAUGCAUUCAUGCGUACCUACUACGUAUGCCAAAUGUCGAUGUUGAUUUUGUAGUUGUUGUUGUUCAUGUUCUGUCUUUUUUGUGCAUUUGCACUCUAGAGUUAUUGUAUUUUUUUGGCCUGUUUUUAGUCGAAGCCGAUUAUUACACAUACGUAAAUGUAUAACGCGCGGUUGAAGCGAAUAGCAAAUAAAAUUUACGAUAAAUUAUUUUUUUCUUUAAGAGCAAAUAAAAAUAUAAAAAAUUUAAGAAAAAAAAAAAAAAGAAAAACAACAAAUAAAUUAACCAAACAUAUGUCAACUAUUUUGGAUUAAGUUACAACAACAGUUCAAGUAAGGCUAAGGCCAGCCGAAAGGACGACGACAACAACAACAGGCCGUUGACGUGAAAGUCCCCCACACAAAUUCCACAAAAACCACAAGCUAACCAGUGAAGCAAAUCCAAAUGAAAUAAUUUACACUCAAAGAAAAAAGUGAAAAAUUUUAAUAAUAACAAAAACGACAGCAGCUUAGGCCAACCCUCUCAGCCAACUGAAUAAAUGCAUAGAAAUCAUUAAAACUAUAUUAUGACUAAAUAGAUUUAUUGCGAAAUAUAUGCGCCGAGAAAGGAGGAAGCAAAACGAGGAAGAAAGCCAAAUUAAUGUGAAUUUGUUUGGGUGCCACCACAAACAAAACAAAGCACAAUAUGAGAAAAUCAUAAACAUUUGAAAUUUAUUUCUCAAUUAAACUUAAAUGUACCAAAUGCAAGUGGAACAACAACAAAGCAAAAAAAAAUAUAAUUUAUUGGCCAUAAAUGCCAAAAGUGGGGCAAAUUUUUCAAGCAAUCAUUAAAAGUAGCGUUUACAAAAAUAAAGAAAAACAUUUUGAUGAAUAAAGAAAAUAUAUGCAUAGUCUAAGAAAAAAUUCCCAAACCUAAUUUAACAUUUUUAGAGAAGGUGAUAAAAUGUUUUUUUUUGGGUUUUUUCUGAAAUGUGUCUAUGAAUAUGAAAAAAUCAAAUAAAUGUUAAAAAUAUUCGUGUGUGAUAAAAUAUAGAAGAAUUAAAAUAAGUUUAAAAAUAGAAAUAAUAUUCAAAAAUGCAAAACAUCAAAUCAGUUUUGAAAAAGAAGAUAAAAAUUUUAUGAAUUUAAUGCUUUUGCAAAUCGCAAAAAAGCUUGUCUCAAAGCUUUGUAUUACAAUUCGAAAGUGAACCGUGAAAUGAAUACCAGUCUUUUGAAUCCAACAGUGGCAAAUAAUGUUAAACAAAACAAUUUUGAUCAAUAAGCCCAUACUUGUUUGAAGGCUGCCGAUUAAAUCUUUAAUUACAACAAUUAGCAGUGCCAUCAAUCAUAUAGCAAACUCAAAAAGAGUCACUCACCAUUAUCCUUGGCUUGAGAAACAGCAACAGCAACAAAUUACACCAAAUCACAAAUUACCAUCAAUUAAUUUAAUACCCUCCACAUGUGUGAGUGAUGCCACAUGCAUGCCAUUGAAAGCGCCUGCGUUCAAAUGUCUCACAGACAAAAAUCUCAUUCAAGACCUCCAACCAAAUAAACGAAUUUGCGUGUGUGUGCUCCUCUGCUAAUAAUCUCUCCUCAACGCAAGGCUCGUUAACUCUCACAUUUAAAGAUAAUUCUCCAAGUAGUAGUGCACAAGAAAAUCCCCAAAGGAAACGAAAAUCUUCUCUCUCUCUCUCUCUCCGUGUAGAAAAUCUCUUUACAACCCAACACGCGCCUUUUAUGCCAUACAUUUUUUACUCUCAUUUUGUGGAUUAGAGAGUAAAAAAAGUACUUCGCAUAACAACAGCAACUUAACCGUACAAAAACAAAACCAAAAACCACUCGAAUCAUCUGUUUCUUUUUUUGCAUUCGUUGCAUUUUGCACCCGGUGUGUUUGUGUGUGCAUGAGAGAGUGAGCAUCGAACGGAAAUACAAAACUGCUGCAGCAGCAACAACUGCAAUAGAGUUACCAUCACGUUGUAACAAAUUCUUUUUCGGGCGACACGUGUUAAUCGAAAGCCUCCAAAGUGGAUUUAACAAACUACAAUAAAAUGCUGCAGGCAAGCAGUCAAUAUUUGCGGCCGGAUUAUUUGGCGGCACCAACUGCGGUAAGCUUCUACGAUCUUACAUAACUUUAGUCAAGCUUAAACUUAAGGUAAAUUUAUAUCCAUAUGAUUAAUGCUCAUUAAACAAUUUUUGUCACAGAAUGUCUCUAAAAUCUCUAUAAAAAAAGAAA